GGUCUACGACAGGGGAGCACAUCGGUGCUGAGAGUGGGCAUGGUGCCCAGACCCUCGAACCUGAACCGGCCAGUACCGGCGUAGGGAGUCGGGACUCUUGCGUG
rnacentral:ncRNA from 2 species